GGAUGAACGCUAGCUACAGGCUUAACACAUGCAAGUCGAGGGGAAACGAUAUUGGAAGCUUGCUUCCGAUAGGCGUCGACCGGCGCACGGGUGAGUAACGCGUAUCCAACCUGCCCAUCACUUGGGGAUAACCUUGCGAAAGUAAGACUAAUACCCAAUGACGUCUCUAGAAGACAUCUGAAGGAGAUUAAAGAUUUAUCGGUGAUGGAUGGGGAUGCGUCAGAUUAGCUUGUUGGCGGGGUAACGGCCCACCAAGGCUACGAUCAGUAGGGGUUCUGAGAGGAAGGUCCCCCACAUUGGAACUGAGACACGGUCCAAACUCCUACGGGAGGCAGCAGUGAGGAAUAUUGGUCAAUGGACGAGAGUCUGAACCAGCCAAGUAGCGUGCAGGAUGACGGCCCUAUGGGUUGUAAACUGCUUUUAUAAGGGAAUAAAGUGAGCCUCGUGAGGCUUUUUGCAUGUACCUUAUGAAUAAGGACCGGCUAAUUCCGUGCCAGCAGCCGCGGUAAUACGGAAGGUCCGGGCGUUAUCCGGAUUUAUUGGGUUUAAAGGGAGCGUAGGCCGGAGAUUAAGCGUGUUGUGAAAUGUAGACGCUCAACGUCUGCACUGCAGCGCGAACUGGUUUCCUUGAGUACGCACAAAGUGGGCGGAAUUCGUGGUGUAGCGGUGAAAUGCUUAGAUAUCACGAAGAACUCCGAUUGCGAAGGCAGCUCACUGGAGCGCAACUGACGCUGAAGCUCGAAAGUGCGGGUAUCGAACAGGAUUAGAUACCCUGGUAGUCCGCACGGUAAACGAUGGAUGCCCGCUGUUGGUCUGAAUAGGUCAGCGGCCAAGCGAAAGCAUUAAGCAUCCCACCUGGGGAGUACGCCGGCAACGGUGAAACUCAAAGGAAUUGACGGGGGCCCGCACAAGCGGAGGAACAUGUGGUUUAAUUCGAUGACAACGCGAAGAACCUUACCAAGUCUUGACAUCCUGCGACGGACAUAGAAAUAUGUUUUUCCUUCGGGACGCAGAGACAGGUGGUGCAUGGUUGUCGUCAGCUCGUGUCGUGAGAUGUUGGGUUAAGUCCCGCAACGAGCGCAACCCUUAUGGUCAGUUACUACGCAAGAGGACUCUGGCCAGACUGCCGUUGACAAAACGGAGGAAGGUGGGGAUGACGUCAAAUCAUCAUGCCCUUUAUGACUUGGGCUACACACGUACUACAAUGGCGUUAAACAAAGAGAAGCAAGACCGCGAGGUGGAGCAAAACUCAGAAACAACGUCCCAGUUCGGACUGCAGGCUGCAACUCGCCUGCACGAAGUCGGAAUUGCUAGUAAUCGCAGAUCAGCAUGCUGCGGUGAAUACGUUCCCGGGCCUUGUACACACCGCCCGUCACACCAUGAGAGCCGGGGGGACCCGAAGUCGGUAGUCUAACCGCAAGGAGGACGCCGCCGAAGGUAAAACUGGUGAUUGGGGUGAAGUCGUAACAAGGUA
rnacentral:rRNA from 1 species